GUCAUCGUCAUCUUGUUGGGUUGCAGUGGAAAUGGAACUUUCUUCCUCAUUAGUCAAUUGGGUGUCUUCUUUACUGACAAACAGAGGCCCCAGUGAAGUGCUUCUGCUACUAAAUCCAAGAAUUUGUACAUUGGAGGAAGAUAAAAGAGGUUUAUGAGUAAAGGGAAUUGAGUAAAUUUUGCAGUGUGAAGAAGAUAACAAGGGGAAUGAUGAUAAGGAGGAAGAGAGCAGUGGGAAUGGCAGCUGAAGCGCCAUUGAAGAGAGUGGAAUAUUUAGUUGAGAUAGAGCAUUUGCUUUGCUUUGCUUGCGGUUAAGACUUGGUAACAGAAUGGAUAACCUUCAAAUGAUUAUGCCUUGUGUUUUUAAAUAUAAAACAUAAGUCUUAUUAAUCGACAUUAGUAUUCUAGAUACGUAUAAUUAGUAUAACUAAAAGUGUUUUAACAAUAAAAAUUCAAUUAACUACAAGUGUUUUAGCAAUGGAUUAGCUUGAAUUACCAAGAAAUUCCUGUAUGUCCUCCCUUUUUUAUCUCACAAAUGUCUUUUACUCCCUCCAUUUCAUAUUAACUUAAGCUUUAAGUCUUUUUCCAUUUUUCAAAUUAACUUAAGUUUCCAAUCUUCAAGACUAUUUUUAAAAUAUUCUUCUAAUUUUACCCUUUAAGUUAGUAUUGGAAUUAGUUAUUAUAAUUAAUGUUUAGUUAUUUUUGACAAUAAUUAAUAAGGGUAAAAAUAGAAAAUUAUGUUCAAUUUUGUGUCCUAACCUACUUUUCUUAAAGGGUGUGAAACACCUCAAAACUUAAGUUAAUAUGGAAUGGAGGGAGUAAUAAGUAUUUGAGAAGUGGAUAGUCUAUUGUGAAUCACCAACCAUAAAAAAAAAUUGUGAUCUUAUUUGAAGUGUUAUAUAGAGGGAUGUAAUGACUAAAUCUUAUUACUUAACACUUAAGAAAGUUCUAAAUCAAUACACUCUCACAUUUAUUCGAAUUGCAGGUCAAUGCUCCUACUGAUGGGAGGAUCAACAAUAAAACAUAUAAUGAAGGAGGCUAACUCAGUAGCAGACAUAUUAGCGGAAUAUGGAAGGAAGACUAUGGAUCCAAAUACGCAUAUGAACAAGUUGUUUGUUUUUGAAGCAUCUCCUUCCUUUACUUUAAAAGUUGAUCUUAAAGGAGAUGAGAAUAGAACUAUAUCGUUUAGAUCGGUUCCUUUUUGUAUGGAUGAACCUAGCUACUAUUAAAUAAAUAAAAUCCUUCCAAUUCCAAAGAGAAAAAAAAGACUAAAUCUUAUGUUUGGAAGAUUGUGUUUAAAACUUUACAUGUGUAAAGCAGUGGAGAUGCAAUUUGAAAUAAGUUAGAAAAUAUUUAAGGAAAGAAAAUGAUUCAUAUAUAGUCUCACAUGACCUAACUUCAAGCUAUCAUAUAUUUCCUUCUAUAUAUUGAGUUGAGAUUUGAGAUAUAUGUCAAAUUAUAUUCGUUAAAAGUGUAGUUUUUAAAAUAUCAAAUCAUUUUGUUAAUUCAAGUUUGAUAUAAAAAGUUAUAAUAAUGGUACGUUUUAACCAAGGAAUGUGCUAUCAAAUGCAAGAUAAUAUUAGGGCGUUGCAUAACUAUCACGCCACAAAAUAUCGGAUUUAAAAAUACAGGAGGCAAUGGUAAAACUUCGUACAAUCAUAGCGCCACAAAAUAACAAAUUCCAAAAUGGAUGGCACGAUGAUGUGUAGGAUCCCAACCCUAGAAACACAGAAAACAAAUAUAUUUAUAGAUAUGUCUAAUAUACAAAUCACAAUAAUAAGUCGGAUACAUAUCACAUUGAAAAUAUCAAAAUUGGAACUCUAAGGUACUCGAAAAUUAUAAAAAAUUUCUAUUCAACAUUCUAACUAGUAUGCAUAUUAGGUUUUGGAAUCAAACUAUAUAUGCUAAAUAACUUGUUAACUAAUUGUGUGAUAUGAUUGACAUGAGAAACUUUUACUAUAUGUGAGUAAUAUCAUAUUAAAUAUAUAGUUAUGAUAUUAAGCACUGGCUAGCUACUCAGCUAGCUAGAACGACACUCAAUGAUUAUUUCUUCAUAUGAUCAUAAUUAACUCAUGAUCAUGAUAUCUACAAAUUAUAAUCUCUAUUCAAUAAAUAAUUAAAUAGAAACCAUUUUAGAAAUAUAUUGGCCUAAUCUCACAAAUUAGGGUUGGACUUUAAAAUCAAUUAGUUACAAUCUAUAACAAAAUUAGACAUUUUAUAAUAGUAAUUUUUUCUUUUAGCGACAAUUGUUUAGCAGAACAAUUAUUUAGCAGCGGUGAAAAUAUAAUACAAAUAUUUAUAAUCAGUAUUCUAUACAUAUAAAUGUCAUUAAAGGUUUUAGCAAUUCUGAAUGCAAUAACACUAAUUCAAUUGUCGCUAAAUAUUUUUACGGCAAUAAAUAUUAUCCCUUUUAUUAUAAUGCAAUGUGUUUAAAUUAUUACAAGUAUUGGUUUGGUUACUUAAUUAGGGAAUCGCAAGCAGUCAAUGAAGGCUCAUUUAGUAGAUAAAGAGAGAAGCUGCAAGCACCUAUUUCUAUCAAAAUGUAAAGCAACAAACGGAACUUGAACUUGAAGAAGCAAGCCUCUAUAAGAGGAAGCUAAUGUAACUAAGCUUUAGUUCUAACUCUAACUAAGACAAUCGAUAUGGUACUAAAAAGGGAGAGGCACCAACAUCUAUCAGAUAACAUUAUUAUUAGCUGAAGAAACAGUGAAAAUAUGCAAAAAGCACUACAAACUUGGUAAAUGCAGUGAGCUUAUACAAGUAGGCAGCCUCGUUAAUAUUGUGGAAAAUUCAAAAGAUAAAAGUAAAUUCACACCUCACCGAAAAGCAUAUCCCGAUUCCUCUUAAGAAGUUCCAACGCCUACAAAAUUUACAACCAUAUAUACAUCAGAAACAGCACAAUCCGAAUUGGGUAAAAGCCAAAAGAAGAAGAAGACUAAACUCGUUUAAUUUGAGAAACGUAUUCAAGCGAUUCAGGAUCCGGGUCAUCGUCAUCUUGUUGGGUUGCAGUGGAAAUGGAACUUUCUUCCUCAUUAGUCAAUUGGGUGUCUUCUUUACUGACAAACAGAGGCCCCAGUGAAGUGCUUCUGCUACUAAAUCCAAGAAUUUGUACAUUGGAGGAAGAUAAAAGAGGUUUAUGAGUAAAGGGAAUUGAGUAAAUUUUGCAGUGUGAAGAAGAUAACAAGGGGAAUGAUGAUAAGGAGGAAGAGAGCAGUGGGAAUGGCAGCUGAAGCGCCAUUGAAGAGAGUGGAAUAUUUAGUUGAGAUAGAGCAUUUGCUUUGCUU
rnacentral:lncRNA from 1 species